CCCUACGGCCAGACCAGACUGAUUCCACCUGAUCCUAUCCGAUCACAGAAGCCAAGCAGUCCCGGGCCUGGCUAGUACCUGGAUGGGAGACCGCCUGGGAAUCCCGGGUGCCAUGAC
rnacentral:rRNA from 1 species